UCUCAUUCGGAUUGUAGUCUGCAACUCGACUACAUGAAGCUGGAAUCGCUAGUAAUCGCGGAUCAGAAUGCCGCGGUGAAUACGUUCCCGGGUCUUGUACACACCGCCCGUCACACCAUGGGAGUCGGGAAUGCCCGAAGCCAGUGACCCAAGCGAGAGCAGGGAGCUGUCGAAGGCAGGCCGGAUAACUGGGGUGAAGUCGUAACAAGGUAGC
rnacentral:rRNA from 1 species